rnacentral:tRNA from 1 species
AUUAAAGCAUUCCGCUUACAUUGGAAAGAUCAUUUUUAUUAUAGUGUGGCUUAA